UUAUGGUUCCUUAGAUCGUACCCACAAUUACUUGGAUAACUGUGGUAAUUCUAGAGCUAAUACAUGCAAACAGAGCUCCGACCGGAGACGGAAGGAGUGCUUUUAUUAGAUCAAAACCAAUCGGUGGCGGGUUCGCUCGUCAUCGUACAACUUGGUGACUCUGAAUAACUUUACGCUGAUCGCACGGUCAUCGCACCGGCGACGCAUCUUUCAAAUGUCUGCCUUAUCAACUGUCGAUGGUAGGUUCUGCGCCUACCAUGGUUGUAACGGGUAACGGGGAAUCAGGGUUCGAUUCCGGAGAGGGAGCCUGARAAACGGCUACCACAUCCAAGGAAGGCAGCAGGCGCGCAAAUUACCCACUCCCGGCACGGGGAGGUAGUGACAAAAAAUAACGAUACGG
rnacentral:rRNA from 1 species